ACGUUCCCGGGCCUUGUACACACCGCCCGUCAAGCCAUGGAAGCUGGGGGUGCCUGAAGUUCGUGACCGCAAGGAGCGACCUAAGGCAAAACUGGUAACUGGGGCUAAGUCGUAACAAGGUAGCCGUACCGGAAGGUGUGGCUGGAACACCUCCUUUUUGGAGCUUA
rnacentral:rRNA from 1 species